rnacentral:rRNA from 1 species
AGAACGAACGCUGGCGGCAUGCCUAACACAUGCAAGUCGAACGAGACCUUCGGGUCUAGUGGCGCACGGGUGCGUAACGCGUGGGAAUCUGCCCUUGGGUACGGAAUAACAGUUAGAAAUGACUGCUAAUACCGUAUAAUGACUUCGGUCCAAAGAUUUAUCGCCCAGGGAUGAGCCCGCGUAGGAUUAGCUUGUUGGUGAGGUAAAGGCUCACCAAGGCGACGAUCCUUAGCUGGUCUGAGAGGAUGAUCAGCCACACUGGGACUGAGACACGGCCCAGACUCCUACGGGAGGCAGCAGUGGGGAAUAUUGGACAAUGGGCGAAAGCCUGAUCCAGCAAUGCCGCGUGAGUGAUGAAGGCCUUAGGUGUAAAGCUCUUUUUACCCGGGAAGAUAAUGACUGUACCGGAGAAUAAGCUCCGGCUAACGUCCGUGCCCAGUAGCCGC